GACGAACGCUGGCGGCGUGCUUAACACGUGCAAGUCGAACGCUGAAGCUCAGCUUUUGUUGGGUGGAUGAGUGGCGAACGGGUGAGUAACACGUGAGUAACCUGCCCCCUUCUUUGGGGUAACGCCCGGAAACGGGUGCUAAUACUGGAUAUUCACUGGUCUUCGCAUGGGGGUUGGUGGAAAGGGUUUUUCUGGUGGGGGAUGGGCUCGCGGCCUAUCAGCUUGUUGGUGGGGUGAUGGCCUACCAAGGCUUUGACGGGUAGCCGGCCUGAGAGGGUGACCGGUCACAUUGGGACUGAGAUACGGCCCAGACUCCUACGGGAGGCAGCAGUGGGGAAUAUUGCACAAUGGGCGCAAGCCUGAUGCAGCGACGCCGCGUGAGGGAUGGAGGCCUUCGGGUUGUGAACCUCUUUCGCUCAUGGUCAAGCCGCAACAAUGGUUGUGGUGAGGGUAGUGGGUAAAGAAGCGCCGGCUAACUACGUG
rnacentral:rRNA from 1 species